GGUGGUUCUCAGGUAACAUACCCCAGAUUCGGGCUCCCUCCUCUCUGGUUCCAGGGUGCAUCACCUGAAAACGCCA
rfam:Myotis brandtii contig270685, whole genome shotgun sequence.